rnacentral:other from 1 species
GACACCCUUCCUGCAAUCAAACAAAUUUCAAUGAUGAACUAAACCCUAGGGAUCUG